rnacentral:rRNA from 1 species
UAAAACGUAGGAGGCAAACGUUAUCCGGAUUUACUGGGCGUAAAGCGCGUGUAGGUGGUUUGUUAAGUAGGGCGUGAAAGCUCCUGGCUCAACUGGGAGAGGUCGUUCUAAACUAACAGACUAGAGGAUGGUAGAGGGAGGUGGAAUUCCGGGUGUAGCGGUGGAAUGCGCAGAUAUCCGGAGGAACACCAGUGGCGAAAGCGGCCUCCUGGACCAACCCUGACACUCAGACGCGAAAGCUAGGGUAGCAAACGGG